AACGAACGCUGGCGGCAUGCCUAACACAUGCAAGUCGAACGAGACCUUCGGGCCUAGUGGCGCACGGGUGCGUAACGCGUGGGAAUCUGCCCUUGGGUUCGGAAUAACAGCGAGAAAUUGCUGCUAAUACCGGAUGAUGACGUAAGUCCAAAGAUUUAUCGCCCAAGGAUGAGCCCGCGUAGGAUUAGCUAGUUGGUGAGGUAAAGGCUCACCAAGGCGACGAUCCUUAGCUGGUCUGAGAGGAUGAUCAGCCACACUGGGACUGAGACACGGCCCAGACUCCUACGGGAGGCAGCAGUGGGGAAUAUUGGACAAUGGGCGAAAGCCUGAUCCAGCAAUGCCGCGUGAGUGAUGAAGGCCUUAGGGUUGUAAAGCUCUUUUACCCGGGAUGAUAAUGACAGUACCGGGAGAAUAAGCUCCGGCUAACUCCGUGCCAGCAGCCGCGGUAAU
rnacentral:rRNA from 1 species